CACGUAAGGGGCGAGCGUUGUUCGGAAUUAUUGGGCGUAAAGGGCACGCAGGCGGUUAUGCAAGUCUGAUGUUAAAUACCUGGGCUUAACUCAGGAGAUGCGUUGGAAACUGCAUGACUAGAGUAUUAGAGGGGGAGUCGGAAUUCCUAGCGUAGGGGUGAAAUCUGUUGAUAUUAGGAAGAACACCGGUGGCGAAGGCGGACUCCUGGCUGAAUACUGACGCUGAGGUGCGAAAGCAUAGGGAGCAAACAGG
rnacentral:rRNA from 1 species